rnacentral:rRNA from 1 species
GCGGACGGGUGAGUAAUACUUAGGAAUCUGCCUAUUAGUGGGGGACAACAUCUCGAAAGGGAUGCUAAUACCGCAUACGUCCUACGGGAGAAAGCAGGGGAUCUUUAUGACCUUGCGCUAAUAGAUGAGCCUAAGUCGGAUUAGCUAGUUGGUGGGGUAAAGGCCUACCAAGGCGACGAUCUGUAGCGGGUCUGAGAGGAUGAUCCGCCACACUGGGACUGAGACACGGCCCAGACUCCUACGGGAGGCAGCAGUGGGGAAUAUUGGACAAUGGGGGGAACCCUGAUCCAGCCAUGCCGCGUGUGUGAAGAAGGCCUUAUGGUUGUAAAGCACUUUAAGCGAGGAGGAGGCUUACCUGGUUAAUACCCAGGAUAAGUGGACGUUACUCGCAGAAUAAGCACCGGCUAACUCUGUGCCAGCAGCCGCGGUAAUACAGAGGGUGCAAGCGUUAAUCGGAUUUACUGGGCGUAAAGCGCGCGUAGGCGGCCAAUUAAGUCAAAUGUGAAAUCCCCGAGCUUAACUUGGGAAUUGCAUUCGAUACUGAUUGGCUAGAGUGUGGGAGAGGAUGGUAGAAUUCCAGGUGUAGCGGUGAAAUGCGUAGAGAUCUGGAGGAAUACCGAUGGCGAAGGC